GACUUUUAAUCAGGGUGUCCCGGGUUCGAAUCCCGGGUGAGCCACCA
rnacentral:tRNA from 1 species